rnacentral:rRNA from 1 species
AGAGUUUGAUCAUGGCUCAGAAUGAACGUUGGCGGCGUGGAUUAGGCAUGCAAGUCGAACGAGCCUCUGGGGGGUAACUCCUAGAAGAAAGUGGCGAAAGGGGCAGUAAUGUAUGGGUAACCUACCUUGAGGUCCGGGAUAGCUAUUCUAACGGAUAGGUAAUACCGGACGGCCUGAGUUGUCGGCAUCGAUGAUUUAGUAAAGGUUACGCCUCGAGAGGGGCCCAUAUGAUAUUAGCUAGUUGGUGAGGUAAUGGCUCACCAAGGCAAAGAUGUCUAGCGGGUGUGAGAGCACGACCCGCGUCACUGGCACUGAGACACUGGCCAGACUCCUACGGGAGGCUGCAGUCGAGGAUCUUCGGCAAUGGACGCAAGUCUGACCGAGCAACGCCGCGUGUGCGAUGAAGGCCUUCGGGUUGUAAAGCACUGUCGAGGGGAAACAAGCCGUAAGGUUGAGUGACCCCUGGAGGAAGCACGGGCUAAGUUCGUGCCAGCAGCCGCGGUAAGACGAACCGUGCAAACGUUAUUCGGAAUCACUGGGCUUAAAGGGCGCGUAGGCGGGUAAUCAAGUCAAUGGUGAAAGCCUCCAGCUUAACUGGAGAAGUGCCUUUGAUACUGAUUGUCUAGAGUGAGGUAGGGGCAUGUGGAACUUCCGGUGGAGCGGUGAAAUGCGUAGAUAUCGGAAGGAACGCCAGUGGCGAAAGCGAUGUGCUGGACCUUUUCUGA